UGUGGGAGCGAGCUUGCUCGCGAUGGCGGUGUGUCAGACACAUCAAUGUUGAAUGUGCUGCCGCUAUCGCGAGCAAGCUCGCUCCCACA
rnacentral:misc_RNA from 1 species